rnacentral:tRNA from 1 species
GGAAUGUGGCUCAAGUGGUAGCGUGCUCACCUGGCAUGCGCGGGGCGCUGGGUUCGAUCCUCAGCACCA